CGUGAGCUACCACCACCACCACCACCACCACCACCACCAUCGCCACCACCUCCGCCAUGGCGCCGCCACCGCCGUCGGCGGGCACGGCGGCGAGUUCCUCGUCCACCACGGGAGCCAUUGGCAGUGAAUCUCCGCCCACCGCCACCUCCUCCUCCCCCUUCUCGAGCCGAACGGGAAAAACAACUUCAUAAUCGAGGUUCAUUAAUGGCGAUGGGAACAAUCACCCAGGAGAACGCGGUAACGGGGACUUUGUGGUUUUGGACACCAAUUAAAAAAUCGUACUCAUAAAUUUAAAUUAAUUUACAUAACCAAAAUGAACCACAACAUUAAUUAAUAUAUUAAUACACUAAAUUCUUUAAAAGCAAUUAAUUUACUCAUAAAAUUCAUUUGAUUUUAUUUCUACUUCUUUUCUUUUUUAACUUAGUUUUCACUCUUUACCCGGUUUGGAUGAAUUUUUCCUCCACCGGGAAAAGAGGAAAUGAGACCUUUCCAUACUUAGCACUACUGCUAAUUUUGUAAACACAUUUUUCACUCAAAUUUAUCGAACUCACACUAUUUUAAAUGGCAAAAAACAAUCAUUUAGAAAUUUAAUUUUCGAUAUUCUUUUUUUUUUCUUCUUUAUUUUUUUUUUUUUUUUUUGAAAAAAAAAGUGUGUAAAAUAUAACAUCUAUAUAUUGAUGGCGCACACCGCCUAACAACCUUGUCGCUGCGUCAAGUGGGGUCUUGCGAUAGGGUUGUGGCAACAACGACGUGGGCCAAAGCCAUAACCAAAGAUUGAACCCAGCUCUUGCGCCCUACAAGAGACGUGAGGCGAUUUUUUCGGUUGCGCCGACCACUGUGGUGGCAGUGCGCUAACUGCGGUGGUGGCAGUGAUAGUGACAGAACAAUUUUAUAUAAUAAAGCUACACAAAAAUUUUUGCAAUUCUAACCAAAAAUUUGUACUAGGAGCUUCUUGUUCAAUCUUAUUAGACUUACUUUAUAUUAGCAGCUUAAUAUAGUAUUAAAGAUUCCCAUGAGAACUUCUAGUUUGAAAAAGACUCUUAAAAUUCAGAAGCAGGAUGAAUAAUAUGGUUUAUCAAAUUGUCUUAGUGAAAGUCCGGUGCGGAGCAGUUCCUAAAUGAAUAAUAUGGUUUAUCAAAUUGUCUUCCUUCAGGUGACCUGACGAGAGAGGAAGGGGAUAAAAUUUUAGUGGGAAAUUUUUAAAAGAACAUUUUAUUGAAUAGCAUUAGAUUGGCUGUUAUGCGUCAAUUUUAUUUUUGAAAUUUUAGAUUAAAGAAUACUCGAAAAAUUCUCAGAUUAACACCAAAAUAACAAAAGAGUUUCCCACUGAAGUUUUAUGGGAAGGUUAGGCCUCCUAUAGCGAGUAUAAUGGCAAUUAAUUAGGGGGGGAAAGAAGGGACGAGAAAAGUAAAAGGAAAGAAAAUGAGAAGGCUCUAAUCGGUAAUCGCACGAUGAUGUGGGCCUGUGACGGAACAUUGGAUUCCGGUGCUGGUUCAACUACUAGCUGGCGUGUAGGCCUGGAUGAUCCACCAUGAUUAAACAUGUAGGACAGAGCAUCUGCUUUUUGGGGCAUAUUCCUUUGUUUUUCAAAUUAAAGAAAACUUUUAGUUGAAUUAAAUUUCAGGUAAAAAUUAUCUUUCCAUCGCUGUUCAUUUGAUGAAAAGUGUGUAAUUCGGAAAUUGAAGUUCUAUCUUUUUUUGGUUUGUUUUACUGAAAGUUGUCACAUUAACACAAAAUUAAAAAAAUUAUAGCAACUAAUUUGUUUUAUCUUUUUAA